UCAGCAGUCAGCACUCGGCAUUCAUUGCAGUAUGCAAAAUUUGAAUAGGAGACGAUAGAUAGCCCCAACCUCUGUAUUCCGGACCACAGCCAAUAUUACUGAUGGGGAGGCGCUUUUUGAGUUCUCGGUUCGGAGCAAGAUUUCUCUAAGUUAGAUCUGAAGGAUACACUCUUUGAAGAAAAAGAUGAAGAAGCUUUUAUUGAUGUGCAAAGUUAAUGUGCUGUUAUUAAAGAAUCAGUUUGAAAAUUUUUCUACAAUCGACAUGGGUGGAGAAGGGAAGAUUACAAAAAUAUUCCGAGUUAUAUAGGGACGGCAGGGACGGAGGGAGUGCACGACGUAUGAAUACGAUUCGAGCUUGUAAUCGCAAUAUUAAAAAUGAGGUUAAGGCACUCACGAGGGAAGGAGAUAAAAAAGAGCUGUCGGCCACGGCGUCAAAAUUGCUAGGCCUGUAUUGGGAGUAUUUGUUUCUUUUUCAUUCUGUAGAGGUUACAGGUAAACGCUGUUCAAGCUUGCAUGCACGAUAUCAAAGAUAGGGUUAAGGCCCUCAUGUCGAUUUUGGCAUUAAGCGUGUUAUGCCUCCGUUGAGAGCAUUUCUCUCCUAUCCGAAAUUGUAAGACAAAUGAAUGCAAUUUGAAUUUACAUUCGCGAUAUCCGAAAUUGUAAGACAAAUGAAUGCAAUUUGAAUUUACAUUCGCGAUAAUGAAAACACGAUUAAGUCUUUCGAGAGAGAAAGGGAUGCCCUCAUUGUUAGGGCUGUUGGUUUUUGCGAUUAGAGAAUACAUGUUGUAUUGUUAUGUUAUAUCAUUUCAUUUAGUAUAAUGAAAAUACUGUAAAGUCUUUCAAGAAAGAAAGGGAUGCACUCAUUGUUUGGGCUGUAGGUCUUUGUGACUGUGGAGAAUACAUGAUGUAUUGUUAUGUUAUAUCAUUUCAUUUACUAUAAUGAAGACACUGUUUAAGUCCUUCAAGAAAGAAAGGGAUGCCCUCAUUGUUAGGGUUGUUGGCCUCAGCUAUAGUGGAGAAUACAUGUUGUAUUAUUAUGUUAUAUUAUCUCAUUUGGUAUGGGUUGAGAUAUAUAUGAUUUUCAUUAA